GACGAACGCUGGCGGCGUGCCUAAUACAUGCAAGUCGAGCGAAUCAAUAGGAGCUUGCUCCUGUUGGUUAGCGGCGGACGGGUGAGUAGCACGUGGGCUACCUGCCUGUAAGACUGGGAUAACUUCGGGAAACCGGAGCUAAUACCGGAUAAUCCUUUUCCACUCAUGUGGGAAAGCUGAAAGUCGGUUUCGGCUGACACUUACAGAUGGGCCCGCGGCGCAUUAGCUAGUUGGUGAGGUAACGGCUCACCAAGGCGACGAUGCGUAGCCCACCUGAGAGGGUGAUCGGCCACACUGGGACUGAGACACGGCCCAGACUCCUACGGGAGGCAGCAGUAGGGAAUCUUCCGCAAUGGACGAAAGUCUGACGGAGCAACGCCGCGUGAGCGAUGAAGGCCUUCGGGUCGUAAAGCUCUGUUGUUAGGGAAGAAUAAGUAUCGGAGUAACUGCCGGUACCUUGACGGUACCUAACCAGAAAGCCACGGCUAACUACGUGCCAGCCGCCGCCGUAA
rnacentral:rRNA from 1 species